GUACAUGAUUAUAGCAUAUCGUUAAUGCAUCGGAUCCCAUUAGAACUUCCCAGUUAAGCGUGUUUGGGCUAGAGUAGUACUAGGAUGGGUGACCACAUGAGAAGUCCUAGUAUUUUACAUG
rnacentral:rRNA from 1 species